rnacentral:lncRNA from 1 species
CACCCUCCUAUAGUGGAAUCAGAGUGUAAAGGGAUGCUAGCUGAAGACACUCAGAGCUGAAGGGUCCUGAGAAGAAAAUGAACAGGAUGUUGCCUUCCCAGGAGUGCAGUAGGCAUUUAGUUCCCUGUGAAGAAGAACUGAUACACUGAAAGACAUGUACUGGAAUUUGGAGAGCAUGGUAUAAGGAUGGGUACUUCAAUAUUAACAGCACAAAGCCUGGAGAAGCAAUCCAACAGGACUCUCUCUGCUUAUCUGCUCAAAGUCAAACAGCAUUGCUUAAAAGACCCUGACAAUGUGAAGAACAAACUCUACCUGAAUGGGCUGCAGUGGUCACCAGGUCCAUGCUGUGGCUAGCAAUUAAAAAUUAACCAUGGCAUUUUCAAGAAAAGAAUGGAAUCAUUCAUGUGCAGCUUCUCUCUGCUUGAUAAUCCCUCUGAAGAGCAUUUGAUUUUUCAAGUCAAGACAGUUAUAUACAAUAAACCUCUUUUGUGUCUAAUGUGCAAAGCUAGGUCAUUAACACACCUGCCAGAAAAGGAGGCCCACAAGGAGGAAGAAAAAAAAUACCCUUACUCUUGCAGCUUGGAGUAAGCACCCUGGAGAAGCUGUGCAGGCAUGAACCACAGCAGCUGCUGCAAUGAAACCUGCUUGUCCAACACAAAGACAGAUCUCUGUGCCGUCACAGAUGCAUGAAUUGACACAGCAAGGAAAUGAGGCAGGGCAUCCAGUACGCAGCUUCCUCACAUGCUGACUGAAGGGCUUCUUGCCAUGCUCAGGAGCUUCUGAGGAACAUCUUCAGUAAGGUAAAACCUGG